CUUUAGACCUAAAGUACUUCCCUAUGCUAAGAAUGGCAUUUACUUCUGAAAGAGUACUUGUCUAAAUAACACGGACCCGCGGGCAGGGGAUUUCCCCACGGCGAGGGGCUACACAAUCACUUGCUAAAAGGAGCAAGUAAUAGGAUUGAAGCAAUUAAAGCUCGAAUAUCAUAUUUUAACAAAGGAAGUGGGGAAGAAAUAACCGAUUUAAACUCAGGAGCGACAAAGCUGUCGUCUUCACUGCUUCUCCCGGGGCUCCUCCGGGCUUUUUUGCUUCUCUUUGGUGGGGAAGGUUUCCAGGAUGCCGAGUUUAAUGCUGCCCUCCGAGCCCACCAGCAAGAUGUUAAAAGUGUCCCUGAAUUCCUCCACAUUUCCUGACAGCCAGAUCCCAUUGUACAGUGCAUUGCUGACCCCUUUAACAGCAACGACAAAAAAAUAGUACAAGUUCAACUCUAUGGAAACCUGCAUAAAGGAAUGUACAGCAUUUUUGCAUCGGGGGGCGGGGGGGAAAUGCAGUCAAGCUGAGUUCCUCGGUCCCUGAUUAUUACAGCAAGGGGCUGAUCCUGCUCAUGCUGAACACAUGCCAAAAGCCAGGGACGAGCAGCAGAAGGCAGAGUCGCUCAGCACCUUCCAGGAUUAGGGCCUUGGGCUGAGCUCUGGGCUGGCUUGGAUGGAUCCUGCGUGGUGCUAAGAGCCAGACUAAGGAUCCCUUGCCCAGAGGCACAUUUCAGCUGCAGGGCAGCAGAGUGAGACUCUAAAGAGUCAAAAACUGGCUUGCAUCAGAAACUGUUUUGCAUCAACUGCUUUGCUGUGUCCUCCUCCAUCCACAGGGGUAUUCUCCAGGGACAGGUCAUUCUGAAUGAGGAUAACAGCGAGGGGCAGGCCUGGCACGUGCUCAGGCUAAGUGCUCAGCACAUCUUCCACCAGAGCCGGUGAUGCUUCUCCGGGAACGUGAGUUAAUUUAGUUCCACAUGUAGGAGGCUAAUGAAUAUUGUUAGACCCAUUGCACAGAUUGACUUCAGUCUGCAAAUGACCCUCUUUUAACCUCCCUCAUUUACUCUUAGGAACUUAAAGCAGGGAGGAAAUCACUUACUGAGUGUCACACAGCAGCAGCCGCAGAAGGCUGGAGCCCCCAGACCCUGCUGCCCACCCCAUGGGCACCAUUUCCUUGUCAGAAAGCUAGUUCAAUACAGAAAUGUCACGUUGCUUUUGUUUGUGAUGUGAUUCAGCUUAUUAAACAGUAAGGUUUUAA